GAGGGCUGGUAUAUUGUAUGCUGCAGUGUCGGUCCUGUAAUUUUGAGGGUUUGAGGUGAAGUUCAUAAAUUAGGCCCCCAAAAUCAUAGCAUGUAUGUGAAAUCUAUAAGUAUAUUAUGAAACCAACUAGUAACUUAAGACUUAACACUAAAACAAAAAGCAAUUGAAACUUGGGAUGAUCAAGAGACUAGAACUAUAACUUCUACGACCAUCAAGGUACACACUCAUCAUGUUCCUGAAUUUUCUAUGUUGAAUAAAAAUUGAUAAUUCCUUCAUCUACAAAGAAGCCUUUCUUCCAAUCCUCGUCUAGUAAUCGGUAUGAUCUUUUUAUCUUGAGUAGCUCAAUGAAGGCCAAAAUCUUGUCAAAAGUUAACCUAAGAAGCUUUGGCUUCAAGUUUCAAAAAAAUAUCAUAUUGCUCGUCUUUUUGACAUAUCAAUAUAUGUGAUAUCUUUUGACUUUCUUUUCCAUUUCCUAGGGUCAAGUUGAUUAAGCCAAAAUGGGGUUAAGAUGUAAUAUUCUUUAUUAUGAUUCCUUGUGAAUCCACUGAAUGACCUGAUCCUACCUUGGUAAAUUCUAUAGUUUGUUCCAAUGGGAACUAAUCUGAUCCAUAUAACCUAAUCCUAGUUCGGUAUAUUGAGAGGAUAUUUCAAUUUUGUGUAGCU
rnacentral:lncRNA from 1 species